CAAUAGCGUAUAUUUAAGUUGUUGCAGUUAAAAAGCUCGUAGUUGGAUUUUGGGUCGGGGGCACCGGUCCGCCGUUCCGGUGUGCACUGGUGACCCCUUCCUUUCUGCCGGGGACGUGCGUCGCACUUAAUUGGGUGGCGUUCGGAGUCGGCGUUGUUACUUUGAAAAAAUUAGAGUGUUCAAAGCAAGUCAUCGCUCUGAAUACAUUAGCAUGGAAUAACAUGAUAGGACUCCGGUCUUAUUUUGUUGGUUUCCGAGACUGGAGUAAUGAUUAAGAGGGACAGUCGGGGGCAUCCGUAUUUCAUUGUCAGAGGUGAAAUUCUUGGAUUUAUGAAAGACGAACUUCUGCGAAAGCAUUUGCCAAGGAUGUUUUCAUUA
rnacentral:rRNA from 1 species